rnacentral:rRNA from 1 species
AAGGAUUCCCUGAGUAGCGGCGAGCGAAACGGGAAGAGCUCAGCAUCGAAUCCUGCAUCCAAUGGAUGUUUGGAAAUGUGAUGUUUGGGAGGAUUCAUUUACUCGGUGGCUAAGACGAACGUCCAAGUCCGAUCUUGAACGGGGCUACUGCCCAUAGAGGGUGCCAGGCCCGUAGUGGCGUUCUCUGGUCCCGAGCUUGGAUCUCUCCUUAGAGUCGGGUUGCUUGGGAGUGCAGCCCUAAUCUGGUGGUAUACUCCAUCGAAAGCUAAAUAUGUCUGUGAGACCGAUAGCGAACAAGUACCGUGAGGGAAAGUUGAAAAGGACUUUGAAGAGAGAGUUCAAUAGUACGUGAAACCGUUUAGGGGUAAACACGUGAAACUCGAUAUUCGAACAGGGAGAUUCAGUACUGACCACCCGGCGUCCUGUCUGGUAAUGUUGAAUUUGCUGGUCUGGUUUGGGGGCAACCCUGGGCUGUGAACGGCUGUCGCUUGCCGGAUUCUGUUGAUCGUUGUGGUCAGUCCGCACUUCUCCCUGUAGUAGAACGUCGCGACCGGUUGGGAUAUGAGUGAUUCACCUCACUUUGAAGGGGUCUACGGCCUGUGUCGCAGCCUAGCAUGACGUGUGUGUUUCGGCAUACCGACAAGCUAGAGGCAUGGUGCCCCGGCCCCUCCCCGACUGUAUCGAACCGAAAGUGCAAACCCGCGUUACAUGCGCGUCCAUAGUCGUGCCAGUCUUUUCCGGCAAUCGCCUGGGUACCGUCUGCUUUGCAGUUCGGCCCGGGUAUUGUUCGGUUAGACGAGGGCUGGUCGAAAUUUUGGACAGUGGUUUUCUUGACACUAGUCGUGCGGCGCUACCAUAUCGGGCAGAUUACGUGACCCGUCUUGAAACACGGACCAAGGAGUCUAACAUGUGCGCAAGUCAAAGGGUUAUGAAAACCUUAAGGCGAAAUGAAAGUAAAUUCUCUGCUUGCCGGAGAUUAGGGAGGAUGGUGAUAUGUUAGUAGCAUGCAUCCGCACUCCCGGGGGGUUUCAAUGUCGAAUUUGCCUUCUGGGCAAAUACGGCGAGGCCCACCAAGAGCGUACACGUUGGGACCCGAGAGAUGAUGAACUAAACCUGGUCAGGACGAAGUCAGGGGAAACCCUGAUGGAGGUCCGUCGAGAUUCUGACGUGCAAAUCGAUCUCUCGAACUGGGCUUAGGGGCGCAAGACCAAUCGAAUCAUCUGUUAGCUGGUUUCACCGGAAGUUUCCCUCAGGAUAGCUGGCGCACAUUGCAGGUGUUACAUCCGGUAAAGCGAAUGAUUAGUGGCCUUGGGGUCGAAAUGACCUCAACCGAUUCUCAAACUUUAAAUGGGUGUGUACCUCGACUUGCUAAAAUGAAGUCGGGGAUCUAUAAAAACCAAGUGUGCCAAGUGGGCCAAUUUUGGUAAGCAGAACUGGCGCUGUGGGAUGAACCAAACGCUGAGUUAAGGUGCCUAAAUCAUCGCUCAUGAGAUACCAUGAAAGGCGUUGGUUGCUGGAGACAGCAGGACGGUGGCCAUGGAAGUCGGAAUCCGCUAAGGAGUGUGUAACUACUCACCUGCCGAAGCAACUAGCCCUGAAAAUGGAUGGCGCUGAAGCGAUGUACCUAUACUCGGCCGUCAGUGGCAAAUUAGUUCGCCGCAAGGCGUUCUAUCAAGCCCUGACGAGUACGGUGGACGUAAUGGUGUGCGUAGAAGGGUCUGGGCGUGAGCCUGCCUGGAGCCGCCAUUAGUGCAGAUCUUGGUGGUAGUAGCAAAUACUCGAUAGAGGACCUGGAGGACUGAAGUGGAGCAGGGUUUCGUGUGAACAGCAGUUGCACUCGAGUCAGUCGAUCCUAAGCACUAGGGGAAACCCGAUGUUGAUGGCAGAGGAAUUUUUUUUUCAUGAUAAAACUCCUUCUAUCUGUGCGAAAGGGAAUCUGGUUCAUAUUCCAGAACCUGGUAACCGGAACCGUUUCAAAAAUCGGGCUCUCAUUUACUGAGAAUUCGUCGGGGCAACCCAAAAGAACCUGGAGACGCCGUCGAGAGAUCCUGGAAGAGUUUUCUUUUCUGUAUAAGCGUUCGAGUUCCCUGGAAUCCUCUAGCAGGGAGAUAGGGUUUGGAACGCGAAGAGCACUGCAGUUGCAGCAGUGUCGGGAUCUUCUCCUCGGACCUUGAAAAUCCAGGGGAGGGCCACGUCGAGCUUCGGGCCAGAUCGUACCCAUAUCCGCAGCAGGUCUCCAAGGUCAAUAGCCUCUAGUCGAUAGAAUAAUGUAGGUAAGGGAAGUCGGCAAAUUCGAUCCGUAACUUCGGGAAAAGGAUUGGCUCUGAGGAUUGGAGUGUAACGGGCUCGAUAGGGAAGCGGUCGGCUGCUCGUGGGACUGUGUUGUAUGCGGUAAAACGCAGAGCUCGGUCCCUACUUGUGGUAACAUCCGUGGAACUGUCGUUGCUAUUGAGGUCCCCUCGAGUCUUGGGCGCUGCAUUUCGGUGCAUGUGCACUUGAU